rnacentral:ncRNA from 1 species
CGUACGGUCUGCGUUCUAACGAGUCGCGUUCCUUGGGAUUGGAGCGUAAACGGGUGGUAAAUUUCAUCCAAAGCAAAAUAUAUACUCGAGACCGAUAGCACAAAAGUACCGUGAGGGAAAGGUGAAAAGAACUUUGAGAAGAGGGUUAAAUAGUGCCUGAAAUCGUUGAGAAGGAAGCGGAUGCCGCCGUUGCAUAUGCUGAUUGUAGGAUUGCUGCUCGCUCCUGUCUUCUGCUACUCAUUCACAGACCUGGUCGUGUUGAGCAGUUGUUUGGCAGAUGUUAGUGGUGUUUCCUACUUUCAGUCGUCAGCAUCACUGGCUGAGUGGAAAUAAUCCUUGGAUGCUAAUUGGUUCGCUAUCUGUGAAUUGGUUGCUUCCUUGCGAUACUCACUACUCGGUCAGUGAGGAAGUGCGUUUGCUGGUCAACGAGCUUUCUAACUGUCAUUACCCUGCGCUUUUCGAUUCGUCGAGUGGCCAGGAUGUGGCUUUGAGAUUGUUCGCACUUAGUAAUCGCGAUGCUGGCUUCCAACGGUUGCCUCCGGCCCGUCUUGAAACACGGACCAAGGAGUCUAACGUAUGUGCGAGUGUGUGAGUGGCAAACUUAUACGCGUAAUGAAAGUGAGGCCGUAUGGCCAUGUUGGGGUCACCAACAACCGACCUUGAUCUUCGGUGAAAGGUUUGAGUAUGAGCAUAUCCGUUAUGACCCGAAAGAUGGUGAACUAUGCCUGAGCAGGGUGAAGCCAGGGGAAACUCUGGUGGAGGCUCGUAGCGAUACUGAC